GACGAACGCUGGCGGCGUGCUUAACACAUGCAAGUCGAACGGAAAGGCCCUGCUUUUGUGGGUUGCUCGAGUGGCGAACGGGUGAGUAACACGUGAGUAACCUGCCCUUGUCUUUGGGAUAACUUCAGGAAACUGGGGCUAAUACCGGAUAUGAGCUCCUGCUGCAUGGUGGGGGUUGGAAAGUUUCGGCGGUUGGGGAUGGACUCGCGGCUUAUCCGCUUGUUGGUCGGGUAGUUGCUUUCCAAGGCUUUGACGGGUAGCCGGCCUGAGAGGGUGACCGGCCACAUGGGGACUGAGAGACGGACCAGACGCCUACGGGAGGCAGCAGUGGGGAAUAUUGCACAAUGGGCGGAAGCCUGAUGCAGCAACGCCGGGUGCGGGAUGACGGGCUUCGGGUUGUAAACCGCUGUCGACUGUGACGAAGCGUGAGUGACGGUAAUGGGUAAAGAAGCACCGGCUAACUACGUG
rnacentral:rRNA from 1 species